AGCACUCCUCUCUCGCGUGCGCAGCAAGCCCCUCUCUCUCUCGCGCGCAGCAUCCCCUCUCUCUCAGUGCACGCGAACCCUAGCAGUCGCCUCCCACCGCGACUCCCUCUCCCCUCGCAGCCGGUCUGCACCCUCCUUCUCCCCCACUCGAUGCAGAUCCAUUGCAGACUCCUCCCACUGUGGCUUCUGGGUGCUCUCCGGCCCGCCCAUGGCUUCCCUGGCGACGAGAUCCGACCUCCGCUCCCUGGCGGUCGUGCAAGAUCUGAGGCCCGCGUCGCGUGGACGAGAAGGGAACCCCAGUCCCCACGAGAUCCGUCAGGUGCCCUCCUCCCCGCCGACGGGGAUGGUGCGGCCGGCGGGCCUCCUCGACCCGACGACGAGGCAGCGUCCGUUCCUCGACCCGCGCGCCUCAC
rnacentral:lncRNA from 1 species